AUUGAACGCUGGCGGCAUGCCUUACACAUGCAAGUCGAACGGUAACAGGUCUUCGGAUGCUGACGAGUGGCGAACGGGUGAGUAAUACAUCGGAACGUGCCCAGUAAUGGGGGAUAGCUCGGCGAAAGCCGGAUUAAUACCGCAUACGCCCUGAGGGGGAAAGUGGGGGACCGCAAGGCCUCACGUUAUUGGAGCGGCCGAUGGCUGAUUAGCUAGUUGGUAGGGUAAAGGCCUACCAAGGCGACGAUCAGGAGCUGGUCUGAGAGGACGAUCAGCCACACUGGGACGGAGACACGGCCCAGACUCCUACGGGAGGCAGCAGUGGGGAAUUUUGGACAAUGGGGGAAACCCUGAUCCAGCAAUGCCGCGUGUGCGAAGAAGGCCUUCGGGUUGUAAAGCACUUUUGUCAGGGAAGAAAACCUUUGGGAUAAUACCCCAGGGGGAUGACGGUACCUGAAGAAUAAGCACCGGCUAACUACGUGCCAGCAGCCGCCGUAA
rnacentral:rRNA from 1 species